rnacentral:lncRNA from 1 species
UUGGCCGGAAAAGGGCUAAGAUCUAAGGGAAAAUGGAAAUACUUUAAAUAAUAGAAUUUGUAGCUUAAUAUAUGAAACUGUUUUCAUUAUUUCCUUUUUCAGAGAUCAAAUGUACUAAACUCAAACCAGACAAAUGUAACAAAUUAAGUGAAACACUCAGACUAACUCUUUUGGGAUAGACCUGGACCCACCAGAAGAUAAAGAAGAUAAAGGUAGAUUUGAAGAACCUUAGGUGAGAAAAGCAAGGCUGAGGGAACCUCAAAAGGACUUUCCACGGUCACACAACUAGUAAGAGCAUGAGGCAAGAAUUGAAUAUGAGUCUUCCUGAUUCUAAAUGCCUCCUAGAUGCUUCCGAGACCCCCAAAGUGUGCUCAGUGAGUAUCUUCUUAACACUUGAGCUGGAAUCUAAAACCAACAAGUUCUACAUUCUGUUUCUGAAUGAAAUGCAUCAUAAUAAGAUUCAAAUACCUGAUCUGCAAAUGUUCAGGCUCACAUUGCCUCAGAAGUUCUAGCUAUUGAGAUGACUAUGGAAAGCUUCCCAAAACAAGACAAGUUCUGAAUGCUGUAGCACCAUUUUUAAAGUGCUGUUUACCAUAGUAAGUAUUCCCCAUUUGAACCUAUCUAUGUAGAUGUGUUGUUUUUUAUUCUUUUUAGCAACUUUGUCUUUCUAUUUUUCUGUGUCUGUGGGUUGAGGAGAAAAAAAGAAAAGAACAAACAGAUGCUCUUUGCAAACAGUGUGUGGAAAUAUGCUAAUUGUGUGGCCUGGGGAAGAGGUUUCCCCUGAGAGCACUGAGUGUCACAUUAACCAAUAUUUACUGCUAAAAAUGAGGAGGAUGCUAUUUAUAUAUAUAUGUGUGUGUGUGUGUAUGUAUGUAGGUGUAUUGAUAGAGU